rnacentral:lncRNA from 1 species
UUUGGUUCUGUCCCCAAAUCCUGAUCUCAGAGUCAAAUUUGGCAACACUUUGUGUGUGAAAAAAAGAAUUAAAUCAAAUUAAUCCCCAACACUAGGGGCAAUUCUGAUUCUGGGGGUGCCAUUCCCACUCUGGGGGUGCAGUUCUGAUUCCAGGGGUGCAGUUCCCAUUCCAGGGGUGCAGUUCCCAUUCUGAGGGUGCAGUUCCCACUCGGGGGUGCCAUUCCCAUUCCUGGGAUGCAGUUCCCACUCUGGGGGUGCAGUUCCCAUUCCGGGGUGCAGUUCCCACUCUGGGGGUGCAGUUCUGAUUCUGUGGGUGCAGUUCCCACUCUGGGGGUGCAGUUCUGAUUCUGGGGGUACAGUUCCCAUUUUGGGGGUGCAGUUCCCAUUCUGGGGGUGCAGUUCCCACUCUGGGGGUACAGUUCCCAUUCUGGGGGUGCAGUUCCCAUUCCGGGGGUGCCAUUCCCAUUCUGAGGGUGCCAUUCUCAUUCUGUGGGCGCAGUUCCCAUUCUGGGGGUGCAGUUCUGAUUCUGGGGGUGCAGUUCCCACUCUGGGGGUACCGUUCCCAUUCUGGAGGUGCAGUUCCAAUUUUGGGGGUGCAGUUACGAUUCUGGGGGUGCCAUUCCCAUUCUGGGGGUGCAGUUCCCACUCUGGGGGUGCAGUCUCCACUCUGGGGGUGCAGUUCCCAUUCUGGGGGCGCAGUUCUGAUUCUGGGGGCGCAGUUCCCAUUCUGUGGGUGCAGUUCCCACUCUGGGGGUGCAGUUCCGAUUCUGUGGGUGCAGUUCCCAUUCCGGGGUGCCAUUCCCACUCUGGGGGUGCAGUUCCCACUCGGGGGUGCAGUUCCCAUUCUGGGGGUGCAGUUCUCAUUCUGGGGGUGCAGUUUCCACUCUGGGGGUGCAGUUUCCACUCUGGGGGUGCAGUUCCCACUCUGUGGGUGCAGUUCCCAUUCCGGGGGUGCAGUUCUGAUUCUGGGGGNAGCCCGCCCUACGUGUGCUAUGUCACCCUGCCCGGGGGCAGCUGCUUCGGCAGCUUCCAGGUACCGUCCCCACCCGGGAAUGCCCCUCCAGGACCACAUCAGGAUUGUUUUCCAAAUAUCUCCUCCCUGUUGAGUGUUCUCCUCCCUGAUCUGCCUCUAAACCUCUUGGUUUAAUUGCAAGUUGUUCCUGGUCUGUAAAUCCCCAUCAGGUCCCAAUCUGGGAAGAUUUGGAUUGUGCAACCUCUUUAGUUGCAAAGGAAAUUCCCGGGGAAUGCCCCUCCAGGAUCCCACCAGGAUCGUUUUCCAAAUAUCCAAAUAUCUUCUCCCUGCUGGGUGUUCUUCUCCCUCCAUCU